GGAUGUGAGGUCGAUCUGGCUGCGACAUCUGUCACCCCAUUGAUCGCCAGGGUUGAUUCGGCUGAUCUGGCUGGCUAGGCGGGUGUCCCCUUCCUCCCUCACUGCUCCAUGUGCGUCCCUCCCGAAGCUGCACACUCGGUCGAAGAGGACGACCUUCCCCGAAUAAAGAUGGACUGGUCUUCAGUCGAAGGUAUACGAGUAGCUACGCUCCCCUGCUAGAACUUCCAAACAAGCUCUCUGAUAUUCGGAGUGAACAUCAUUCUCAUGAUUUCCUUUUGUCUCCACCCCCCCUUUUAUUGCUACCAGGGUUAUUGCUGGGGCUCAGU
rfam:Erinaceus europaeus unplaced genomic scaffold scaffold00267, whole genome shotgun sequence